rnacentral:rRNA from 1 species
UGGGGAAUAUUGCACAAUGGGCGCAAGCCUGAUGCAGCCAUGCCGCGUGUGUGAAGAAGGCCUUCGGGUUGUAAAGCACUUUCAGCGAGGAGGAAGGUGGUGAGCUUAAUACGCUCAUCAAUUGACGUUACUCGCAGAAGAAGCACCGGCUAACUCCGUGCCAGCAGCCGCGGUAAUACGGAGGGUGCAAGCGUUAAUCGGAAUUACUGGGCGUAAAGCGCACGCAGGCGGUUUGUUAAGUCAGAUGUGAAAUCCCCGGGCUCAACCUGGGAACUGCAUUUGAAACUGGCAAGCUAGAAUCUCGUAGAGGGGGGUAGAAUUCCAGGUGUAGCGGUGAAAUGCGUAGAGAUCUGGAGGAAUACCGGUGGCGAAGGCGGCCCCCCUGGACGAAGACUGACGCUCAGGUGCGAAAGCGUGGGGCAGCAAACAGGAUUAGAUACCCUGGUGUCCACGCUGUAAACGAUGUCGAUUUGGAGGUUGUGCCCUUGAGGCGUGGCUUCCGGAGCUAACGCGUUAAAGUCGACCG